CCCGUGUCCACGGAGGGCGUGAGGUAGGGGCGCGGCAGGGACCCGUGUCCACGGAGGGCAUGAGGUAGGGGCGCGGCAGGGACCCGUGCGCACAUCUGCUGCUUCACUUUCAGUUCAAGAGCAGCUUCGGGUUAGGACGCUGGUCUUCUGACCUCUUGACGUACAAGCAGGUGUGUUCCUGUGCGACAGGUGAGGGGAAGCCGAGACCCUCCCGUGAAGCAGCUCACUGCAGGCCAUGGACGGGAGGCGGGGUCCACAGAUGUCUCCCGAAGGCAGAAGGUUCAAGCCCUUUAAUGUAGGAAACGACGCGGCAGCCUCCUCCCCCUUAGCACCACCAAGAGCAGGUCUCAGGCGCUCCCUGCCUCCCUCAGGCACAGUUCCAUUUAUGAGAACAUCAAAUAGCAAAAAAUGCUUAGGAAUUAACUUAACCAAGGAGGUGGAAGGACCUGUACAAUGAAAGCUACGGUGAGAUGUCACCUCUCACCCGUUUGGAUGGUGACUGUCAGAAAAACAGAACAGCAAGUGUUGGUAAAGGAUGUGCAAAGAUUGGAAUUCUUGUGUUCUGUUGGUGGGAAUGCAGAGUGGUCCAGCUGCUGUGGAAAGCAAUAUGGCAUUUCCUCAAAAUAUUAAAAAUAGAAUUACA